rnacentral:rRNA from 1 species
UACGUAGGGACCAAGCGUUGUUCGGAUUUACUGGGCGUAAAGGGCGCGUAGGCGGCGUGGUAAGUCACUUGUGAAAUCUCUGAGCUUAACUCAGAACGGUCAAGUGAUACUGCUGUGCUAGAGUGCGGAAGGGGCAAUCGGAAUUCUUGGUGUAGCGGUGAAAUGCGUAGAUAUCAAGAGGAGCACCUGAGGUGAAGACGGGUUGCUGGGCCGACACUGACGCUGAUGCGCGAAAGCCAGGGGAGCAAACGGG